UAGCGAAACCGGGCAUUUUGGUCCCGGUCGUCGUGGGGUGGCUCCCACGGCCUGACGAGCAGCCACGA
rnacentral:hammerhead_ribozyme from 1 species